ACUGACCAUUACUUUCCCAGCAAGAUUUAGGCCCCAGUCUCAAGUUCCUGUCUGGUACCAAUUUCAAGCAAUGAAUAGCAAAACUGCAGCAAAGACUUUCAGACUGAGAGAAGAGAUAAGCUGAAACCUUGAUGAUCAAUGUGCACAAUAGGGAUGAGUCAAUGGACCUUGAUGUGAGGCAAAGCCGAGAUAUCAUUCUCCUUGUGCUAACACGGGCUGCUUCAUUAUUAAGGAAUGCAG